rnacentral:misc_RNA from 1 species
CCAAUAGCGUAUAUUAAAGUUGUUGCAGUUAAAAAGCUCGUAGUUGAAUUUCGGGAUCAAAGAAUCGGUCAUGCCUUGGUAUGUACUGGUUUUAUUGGUUCUCACCUUCUAAAGAACCAUGAUGUCAUUCAUUUGAUGUUAUGGGGAAUUAGGACUGUUACCUUGAAAAAAUUAGAGUGUUUAAAGCAAGCUUACGCUUGAAUACAUUAGCAUGGAAUAAUGAAAUAAGACAUCAGAUUCUAUUUUGUUGGUUUCUAGGAUCGAUGUAAUGAUUAAUAGGGAUAGUUGGGGGCAUUAGUAUUCAAUUGUCAGAGGUGAAAUUCUUGGAUUUAUUGAAGACUAACUACUGCGAAAGCAUUUGCCAAGGAUGUUUUCAUUAAUCAAGAACGAAAGUUAGGGGAUCGAAGACGAUCAGAUACCGUCGUAGUCUUAACCAUAAACUAUGCCGACUAGGGAUCGGAUGAUGUUAAUUUUUUAAUGACUCAUUCGGCACCUUACG